UGACCUACAGCUAAGGCCCCCAAUUCGUGGCUAAGUGGGAAAGGAUGUGGGACUCCCAAAACAACCAGGAGGUUGGCUUAGAAGCAGCCAUCCUUUAAAGAAAGCGUAACAGCUCACUGGUUUAGUUUUUUAGCAUCGAAAAUGUACAGGGACUAAAAUUAUUUGCCGAAACAAUAAAUUUAAAUCAGUUUAGAUUUAAAUGGUAGCAGAACGUUUUGUAAAUUUAAGAAAAUUUAUAGUUAUAUAAAUUGGAAAAAUCAAAAAUGAAAAUAUUGAUAUGAGUAGCGAAAAACAGUGUGACUAUUAAGCAUUGGUCACCUUAAGUUCAAGGUUUUUAAGGAAAGGCUAAUCCUCCUUAAGUUAAUCGGUCCCUAAGAUGACAACGAAAGUUAUAGUUGAUGGGUAAUAAUUUUUUUUUAUUAUAUUUUAAAGUGACAAAAUAUAAAUUUAAUUUUUAAUUUUGAUUUUAAUUAAAAGUUUUUUAAUAUUUUCGAGAAACAGCUUAAAAUAAUACCGUACCGUAAACCGACACAGGUGAACAAAUUUAGUAAAUUAAGGUGCUUGAGUUAAUUGUACCAAAGGAACUCGGCAAAAUGACUCCGUAACUUCGGGAUAAGGAGUAGCUUUUCUAGGUUAAACCCUUAAAAAGCUGGCACAAAAUCGAGGACAGCGACUGUUUAAUAAAAACACAGGUCUCUGCGAAUUUGAAAAAAGAAGUAUAGAGACUGACGCCUGCCCGGUGCUGCAAGAUUAA
rnacentral:rRNA from 1 species